rnacentral:rRNA from 1 species
UUUAUUAUUAAAUAAAGUUAUAUAUAAAUAUUGAAAUGAGUUUUAUAAUUAAAAUUAUAAAAUUAUAGAUAAUUAUAAUUUAAGUAAUGUAAGUGAAUAUUUAAAAAAAUUAGUAUAAGAAAAUCUAGUAUAUUGUUCCUUUUGUAUCAGGAUUUAUUAAAUUUACAUUAAUAAAUAUUUAAUAUCUCGAAGCUUUAAGAGUUAAUUAUAUAUGAAAUUUUAUGUAACAUUAUGAUUUUAAAUAUAUAUUUAGAGAAGAAAUUUUAAUCAAUUAAGGGGGUAUCUAGUUUUUUUUUAUAUAAAUUUAAUUUAGAUAAAAUUUAUUAAUAUAAAAUAUUUAAAUAAAUUAUAUUAAAUAAUUUUAUUAAAUAUUUAUGGGAUAAACUAUAAAUAAUAUAAAAAUUAUAAUAUGAUUAAUAUAUAUAUAAAUAUAAAUAAUUUUAAAAUUUAAUAUUUUUGUAAAAAAUUUAAUAAUUUAUAUAGUGUAAUUAGUGAUUUUUAAGAUUAUAAUUUAAUUUAUUAGAAAAAUAUUUAAAAUAAUUAAAAUUUUUAAAUAAUAAUGAUAAAAUUAGUAUAAAAUAAAUGAUUUAUAUAGUUAUAAAAUUAAUUAUAUAUUUUUAAUAGGAAUUCGGCAAAUUUUAUAAAUCCAACUGUUUAUUAAAAACAUUGUUUUAAGAUAAUAAUUUAAAAUAAUUUCUGCUCAAUGAUUAAAUUUUAAAUAGCCGCAGUAAUUUGACUGUGCGAAGGUAGCAUAAUCAUUUGUCUUUUAAAUGGAGACUGGAAUGAAUGAAUUAAUGAGAUUUAUACUUUCUUUUUUAAAUAUUUAUAAUUUAAAUUUUAAGUUAAAAUGCUUAAAUUGAUAUAAGGGACGAUAAGACCCUAUAGAAUUUAAUAUUUUUAUUUGUUAAAUUUUUAGUUUUUGUAAUUAAUAAAAUUAUUUUAUUGGGAGGAUAAUUAAAUUAAGAUAACUUUAAUAUUAAAAAUUACAUUAAUUUAUGGACAUUAGAUUAAAAGUUUAUAAUAUAGAAUUAAUUACCUUAGGGAUAACAGCGUAAUAUUUUUUGAUAGUUCUUAUUGAAAAAAAUGAUUGCGACCUCGAUGUUGAAUUAAGAUAAAAUUUAAAAGUAGAAGUUUAAUUUUUUAGUCUGUUCGACUAUUAAAAUCUUACAUGAUUUGAGUUGAGACCGACGUAAGUCAGGUCAGUUUCUAUCUGUAUAAAAU